UCUGCAAAUAUAGCCCCAAGCCACAGUGAGGAGGAUGAGGAGGGUGGGGGAACAGGUAAAGCCACCCACAGCUCCCCCCACCUGGCAGACCUGAUUCCAAACUUUGCCUUUAUUAGCUCAUCCAUCUCUCAGUCACUGUUUGAGGAAGGUGCCAUUAUGACCCCGUUUCCCAGAAGAGGAGAUGGAGGCACGGAGCAGCAACAUCACUUGUCCCAGGCCACGUGGCUUGAGGGAACUGUCACGGGCGUCUGCAUACCAGAGUUAACCCGGCUGGGUGGUGAAGGUGCACCUCCUCUGUUGACCAUGCUGCCCGCCAGGAACACCCUGGGAACAUCUUGCCCUCAACAGCAGGGAAUAGGUCUAAGAAAAUUCAUAUAAAUGCAUAAUCUUCAUAGUAUUACUUAGAUCAGCAAAACGGGAACACCAUUGGAGGUGCACAAAAGGCGUGUGGCUGAAAUUGAGUGGAGAGGGAUGCAGGAUGGCGCAGGAAGAUGGUGAGAACUCAGGUGUGAGGAAGGCGCAGAACACGGGCUGCGGGAAGGCGUGCAGAGUGAGAGAACUCAGGUGUGAGGAAGGCGCAGAACACGGGCUGCGGGAAUGUGCAGAGUGAGAGAACUCAGGUGUGAGGAAGGCGCAGAACAUGGGCUGCGGGAAUGUGCAGAGUGAGAGAACUCAGGUGUGAGGAAGGCGCAGAACACGGGCUGCGGGAAUGUGCAGAGUGAGCAGGAUUCACUCUGGACAGAGUGCGUAUGGGAAUGCAUUUUCUUCUUUGUGCUCUACAGUAGACACCCAAUUAAUCAGUGACUGAGAAAAAGCAGAGUAUCCACCUGGCUCUCUUUCUGCCAAGAACCGCGACUGCCUCCACCGCUCCAUAUGGGACCACCCUGCCUAA
rnacentral:lncRNA from 1 species